AGAGUUUGAUCCUGGCUCAGGAUGAACGCUGGCGGCGUGCCUAACACAUGCAAGUCGAGCGAUUUACUUCGGUAAAGAGCGGCGGACGGGUGAGUAACGCGUGGGUAACCUGCCCUGUACACACGGAUAACAUACCGAAAGGUAUGCUAAUACGAGAUAAUAUGCUUUUAUCGCAUGGUAGAAGUAUCAAAGCUUUUGCGGUACAGGAUGGACCCGCGUCUGAUUAGCUAGUUGGUGAGGUAACGGCUCACCAAGGCGACGAUCAGUAGCCGACCUGAGAGGGUGAUCGGCCACAUUGGAACUGAGACACGGUCCAAACUCCUACGGGAGGCAGCAGUGGGGAAUAUUGCACAAUGGGCGAAAGCCUGAUGCAGCAACGCCGCGUGAGCGAUGAAGGCCUUCGGGUCGUAAAGCUCUGUCCUCAAGGAAGAUAAUGACGGUACUUGAGGAGGAAGCCCCGGCUAACUACGUGCCAGCAGCCGCGGUAAUACGUAGGGGGCUAGCGUUAUCCGGAAUUACUGGGCGUAAAGGGUGCGUAGGUGGUUUCUUAAGUCAGAGGUGAAAGGCUACGGCUCAACCGUAGUAAGCCUUUGAAACUGGGAAACUUGAGUGCAGGAGAGGAGAGUGGAAUUCCUAGUGUAGCGGUGAAAUGCGUAGAUAUUAGGAGGAACACCAGUUGCGAAGGCGGCUCUCUGGACUGUAACUGACACUGAGGCACGAAAGCGUGGGGAGCAAACAGGAUUAGAUACCCUGGUAGUCCACGCCGUAAACGAUGAGUACUAGCUGUCGGAGGUUACCCCCUUUGGUGGCGCAGCUAACGCAUUAAGUACUCCGCCUGGGAAGUACGCUCGCAAGAGUGAAACUCAAAGGAAUUGACGG
rnacentral:rRNA from 1 species